UACAGAGACUGCAAGCGUUAUUCGGAUUCACUGGGCGUAAAGGGUGCGCAGGCGGCCAGAUGUGUCAGGUGUGAAAGCCCGGGGCUUAACCCCGGAAUUGCGCCUGAAACUGUCUGGCUAGAGUACUGGAGAGGGUAGCGGAAUUCACGGUGUAGCAGUGAAAUGCGUAGAGAUCGGGAGGAACAUCAGUUGCGAAGGCGGCUCUCUGGACCAGUACUGACGCUGAGGCACGAAAGCGUGGGGAGCAAACAGG
rnacentral:rRNA from 1 species